rfam:Burkholderia calidae type strain LMG 29321 genome assembly, contig: contig000032
UCCCCGCUUCUCCUCCCUGAGCGGGUGCCUGUCGAACUUCGAUUAGGCUAUUAACCCGCCGUCAUUCGGCGGGUUUUUUUAU